rnacentral:rRNA from 1 species
GACGAACGCUGGCGGCGCGCCUAACACAUGCCAGUCGAACGAGCGAGAGAGAGCUUGCUUUCUUUAGCGAGUGGCGAACGGGUGAGUAACGCGUGAGGAACCUGCCUCUAUGAGGGGGACAACAGUUGGAAACGACUGCUAAUACCGCAUAAGCCCACGACCCGGCAUUGGGUCGAGGGAAAAGGAGCAAUCCGCUUUGAGAUGGCCUCGCGUCCGCUUAGCUAGUUGGUGAGGUAACGGCCCACCAAGGCGACGAUCGGUAGCCGGACUGAGAGGUUGAACGGCAACAUCGGGAGUGAGACACGGCCCAGACUCCUACGGGAGGCAGCAGUGGGGAAUAUUGCACAAUGGGGGAAACCCUGAUGGAGCGACGCCGCGUGGAGGAAGAAGGUCUUCGGAUAGUAAACUCCUAUUGUUGAGGAAGAUAAUGACGGUACUCAAAAAGGAAGUGACGGCUAACUACGUG